AUGACCAUAUCAUGUUGAAACACUGGUUCUCAUCUGAUCAUCAAAGUUAAGCAAUAUUGAACCUGGUCAGUACCUAGAUGGAUAACUGCUUGGGAAUAUCAAGUGCUGUAAG